UCCUACGGGAGGCAGCAGUAGGGAAUUUUCGUCAAUGGGCGCAAGCCUGAACGAGCAAUGCCGCGUGAACGAGGAAGGUCUUCGGAUCGUAAAGUUCUGUUGAAGGGGAAAAAGAGCGGAGAGAGGAAAUGGUCUCCGAUUGAUAUUACCCUUCGAGGAAGUCACGGCUAACUACGUGCCAGCAGCCGCGGUAAUACGUAGGUGGCGAGCGUUAUCCGGAAUUAUUGGGCGUAAAGAGGGAGCAGGCUGCUGAACAGGUCUGUGGUGAAAGCCCGAAGCUAAACUUCGGUAAGCCAUGGAAACCG
rnacentral:rRNA from 1 species